UGAUGCUACAACUCCACAGUGAAAUUCUUAUGGAGGACUUUUAGCUCCAAGUUCAGAGGGAAGACUUUUUGAUAGAAGUGGGUUGUCUCUCCAGGAUCUCACCAAAAUGAAUUGCCAUGCUGCUGAUAGACAAGGACACUGAGACUCAGAGAGGUUGGAUAACCUGCUCAUGUGCUCCAAAGAACAACCACAGAGCUAGGAAAAGCCAAAAGGAGGGAUCAGAAAUUAGGAAAGCCCUUGCAAUAAUUCAGAAUGAAUGGAGCUGUCGUCACAGUCCCCAGCUUACAGGAUUUGGGCAGAAUGGUUGAGAA